rnacentral:misc_RNA from 1 species
AGACUUCCUGUCUCCUCAGCAACAAUCUACCCUGCUCUCCGAUAUUCAAAACGAGGGAUGGUUCACGGUGGCCUCUAACAAUCAGGCUAUGAGAUUUGGAGAUCUCCCAUCUUGGGCCAUUGAACUUUCUAAUUCUAUUCGGGAAGUUGUGCUAUUUGGUGAUCAGAUUUGUAAAUCUGCAGACUCAGUUAGUUGUGAAGGAGACAAAGGCACCUGUAUAAUUCCAACAAAUUUGUUGUGGAGAGAGCCACUAUUUGAUCAACUAAUUGUAAAUGUAUACCAACCAGGUGAGGGGAUUUGUGCACAUGUUGAUCUCAUGCGCUUUGAAGAUGGAAUUGCCAUCGUCUCCCUGGAGUCAUCAUGUGUGAUGCAUUUCACACAAGUGGGAGAAGAUUGUGAGAAUGGAAAGGGAGAAAACGAUCAGCCUAUGCCAAGAGUUCCUGUUCACUUAACCCGUGGAUCUGUUGUUCUAUUAUGGGGGGAUGCCCGCUACCUUUGGAAGCAUGAAAUUAAUCGCAAGCCAGGGUUUCAAAUGUGGGAGGGGAAGGAAUUAAAUCAAAAGAGGAGAACAUCCAUAACCUUGAGAAAACUUUGCUGUGUUGAGUAGCAAGGUGUGACUCAAAAUUGAUCAGGAAAAUUGCCCUGUCCUCUUAUUUCCUGCUUUUAGUAUUUAAAGUUUCCGAGGAAAAUUGCAAUUGAUAGUUGCAAGUUGUACUAAUUU